AUUGAACGCUGGCGGCAGGCUUAACACAUGCAAGUCGAACGAGUGGCGGACGGGUGAGUAAUGCUUGGGAAUCUUGCUUAUGGAGGGGGAUAACUACGGGAAACUGUAGCUUAUACCGCCUACCAUAGGAUGAGCCCAAGUGGGAUUAGGUGGUUGGUGAGGAAAAGGCUCACCAAGCCGACGAUCUCUAGCUGGUCGGAGAGGAUGACCGCCCAUACUGGGACUGGGAAACGGCCCAGACUCCAACGGGAGGAAGCAGGGGGGAAUAUUGCGCAAUGGGGGCAACCUGACGCAGCCAUGCCGCGUGAAUGAAGAAGGCCUUCGGGUUGUAAAGUUCUUUCGGUAGCGAGGCGUUAACUACAGAAGAAGCACCGGCUAACUCCGUGCCAGCAGCCGCGGUAAUAC
rnacentral:rRNA from 1 species